rnacentral:rRNA from 1 species
AUUGAACGCUGGCGGCAGGUCUAACACAUGCAAGUCGAACGAGUGGCGGACGGGUGAGUAAUGUCUGGGAAACUGCCCGAUGGAGGGGGAUAACUACUGGUAACGGUCGCUAAUACCUCAUACCAUCGGCUGUGUCCAGAUGGGAUUAGCUAGUAGGUGGGGUAACGGCUCACCUGGGUGACGAUCCCUCGCUGGUCUGAGAGGAUGACCAGCCACACUGGAACUGGGACACGGUCAAGACGCCUACGGAAGGCGGCAGUGGGGAAUAGUGCACAAGGGGGGCAAGCCUGAUGCAGCCAUGCCGCGUGUAUGAAGAAGGCCUUCGGGUUGUAAGGUACUUUAAGCGAGGAGGCGUUACUCGCAGAAGAAGCACCGGCUAACUCCGUGCCAGCAGCCGCGGUAAUUC